rnacentral:rRNA from 1 species
AUUGAACGCUGGCGGCAGGCCUAACACAUGCAAGUCGAGCGGAUGAAGGGAGCUUGCUCCUGGAUUCAGCGGCGGACGGGUGAGUAAUGCCUAGGAAUCUGCCUGGUAGUGGGGGAUAACGUCCGGAAACGGGCGCUAAUACCGCAUACGUCCUGAGGGAGAAAGUGGGGGAUCUUCGGACCUCACGCUAUCAGAUGAGCCUAGGUCGGAUUAGCUAGUUGGUGGGGUAAAGGCCUACCAAGGCGACGAUCCGUAACUGGUCUGAGAGGAUGAUCAGUCACACUGGAACUGAGACACGGUCCAGACUCCUACGGGAGGCAGCAGUGGGGAAUAUUGGACAAUGGGCGAAAGCCUGAUCCAGCCAUGCCGCGUGUGUGAUGAAGGUCUUCGGAUUGUAAAGCACUUUAAGUUGGGAGGAAGGGCAGUAAGUUAAUACCUUGCUGUUUUGACGUUACCAACAGAAUAAGCACCGACUAACUUCGUG